GGUUAAGCGACUAAGCGUACACGGUGGAUGCCCUGGCAGUCAGAGGCGAUGAAGGACGUGCUAAUCUGCGAUAAGCGUCGGUAAGGUGAUAUGAACCGUUAUAACCGGCGAUUUCCGAAUGGGGAAACCCAGUGUGUUUCGUCACACUAUCAUUAACUGAAUCCAUAGGUUAAUGAGGCGAACCGGGGGAACUGAAACAUCUAAGUACCCCGAGGAAAAGAAAUCAACCGAGAUUCCCCCAGUAGCGGCGAGCGAACGGGGAGCAGCCCAGAGCCUGAAUCAGUGUGUGUGUUAGUGGAAGCGUCUGGAAAGGCGCG
rnacentral:rRNA from 1 species